rnacentral:rRNA from 1 species
AGUGAACGCUGGCGGUAGGCCUAACACAUGCAAGUCGAACGGCAGCACAGGAGAGCUUGCUCUCUGGGUGGCGAGUGGCGGACGGGUGAGGAAUACAUCGGAAUCUACUCUGUCGUGGGGGAUAACGUAGGGAAACUUACGCUAAUACCGCAUACGACCUACGGGUGAAAGCAGGGGAUCUUCGGACCUUGCGCGAUUGAAUGAGCCGAUGUCGGAUUAGCUAGUUGGCGGGGUAAAGGCCCACCAAGGCGACGAUCCGUAGCUGGUCUGAGGGGAUGAUCAGCCAGACUGGAACGGAGACACGGGCCAGACUCCUACGGGAGGCAGCAGUGGGGAAUAUUGGACAAUGGGCGAAAGCCUGAUCCAGCCAUACCGGGUGGGUGAAGAAGGCCUUCGGGUUGUAAAGCCCUUUUGUUGGGAAAGAAAUCCAGCUGGCUAAUACCCGGUUGGGAUGACGGUACCCAAAGAAUAAGCACCGGCUAACUUCGUGCCAGCAGCCGCCGUAA